ensembl:lncRNA
AAAACUGAUGGGACCAAAAUGUACGGAACUCUCCAUUUCUGCAUUCUUGCUAUGCAUCCAUUCCACAAGGAAUCAUUGAGUGAAAAGGCACUGCUUGAUCCUGGUACUGGAGCCACAGAGAGUCACAGAUGCUCCUGUGGUGGUGAGCCAGCAAGGCCAGACUCACAGAUGUGAGGAUUUGGGGUUGGAUUCCACACUUCAGCGCUGAAUUACUUUUGGAGUGGAAGCAAUUACGGCAGCAGCAGCAGCAUCUUUUUCACCUCUAGAUUAAACUUAUGGUGGUGAGAAGUUGACCUCAAGAGUUCAGUGGUAGCCCCAGCUUCCACUCUUCCAGCCUCUCCCAAAAGCCUGUAAGUAUCUAAUCCCUUGUAUUAAUUUGCUUUCUGCAAAACUUCUGGUUUCCAGUCUGACAAGUAAAUAGCUUAGAUCUUGUCACUCCUGUCCUUACAACAGGGAAAAACCCAAACAAACUUAAAAUCAAUGACCCUACUUAGAACCAUCAGGGAAUUGACGUCACAGGGCAAACUGCUGCCCCCAAACUUUCAGAGACACACAGAAGAAUCAGAAAGGCACAGCUUACUAGGAGCUGAAGCCAAUAUUGGUAGGAACAGUUAACACUGUAAAUUGAGGAAUUACUAGAGGCUCAGCAUAGACUAGCUUGAAGAGUUAAAAACUUCCAGGGUGUACAGUCUUAAAGGGGCUUCCACUUUUAUAAGUUUUAUCUUUAGAAGCCCCAGCAGGCUCUCACUGUGAAGAUCGCACAACAAUCCCUUUGUGCUUUCUGUAGGAGGAAGGAAAAGUAAUCAUUUGGAAAUAUGCCUGGAGAUUUAUAUUUUCCUUCACAAAGCCUGCCUUUAAGGGAAACUAUAGAUGGUCCCCAACUUACGAUGGUGUGACUUACAAUUUUUUAACUUUAUGAUGGUGUAAAACUAUUGCAAUUUCUACACAACAUAUAGUAUUCAAUAAAUUACAUGAAAUAUUCAAUACUUUAUUAUAAAAUAUACCUUAUAUUAGAUGCUUUUGCCCAACUAUAGGCUAAUGUAAGCAUUUUAAGCACAUUUAAGAUAGACUAGGCUAAGCUAUGCUGUUCAGUAGGUUAGGUAUACUAAUUGCAUUUUCAACGUGUGAUAUUUUCAACCUGCAAUGGGUUUAUCAGAGCAUAACCCAAUCAUAAGUCAAGGAGCAUCUGUAUUUUACAAGACCCUAAUGGACUAGAGUUUGACCAAAGCCAAAUUGAUCUUAGGGAAAGGAAAUACCCAACUCCAAUCUCCUGUGCCUUUCCUGUCUCGUCUAAGGCAGGGAAGCAGAAACUGAGGAGUAAGUGAGAAGGUCACGGCCCAGGGACUCAGCUUGCUAAGAAGCAGACCUAAUCAUAGGACUAUAGAAUGUUUUCCCUCUGCCUAAACCUCACCAAUAUCAAUAGGGCUUCUCUAUAAAAGCAGGGGAUUACAACUGAAAGAACUGCAAGCUUCACACCUUAUUUCAGGAGUCUCUAGGAAAAUGUAAAUAUGAGAAGAGAAACAAAAACAAGAACACUAAUGAAAAUAUUACCCUCUACCACCUGUCGCUACAGCAAAUAGUAAAUCCAGCCCAAUUUCUGGGCAAAUCAACAUAAUACCCCAUACUAAAGGCAUAUUUACCUCCAUUCAUUUUACCUGUUACAUCACGUCCAAUGUUCAGGAAUAAUUACAAGGCAUGUUAAAAGGCAAAAAAUACAGUCUAUAGAGCCAAAACAAGCAUCAGAACUAGACUCAGAUAUGGCAGACAUUUUGGAAUUAUCAGACCAGGAUUUAAAUAAACUAUGAUUAAUAUGCUAAGGCAUCUAAUGGAAAAAGCAAACAACAUGCAAGAACAGAUGGUAAUAAGAGCAAAGAGAUAGAAACUCUAAGAAAGACCUUAAAGGACAUGCUAGAAAUAAAAAACACUGUAACAGAAAUAUGGAUUGCCUUUAAUGGGCUCAUCAAUAGAAUAGACACAGCUGAGGAAAAAAAUCAGCAAGCUUGAAGAAAUGUCUGUAGACACUUCUAAAACUGAAUCCAUUGAGAAAAAAGAAUGAAAAAGACCAAACAAAAUAUCCAAGAACUGUGACACAUUUACAAAAGAUUAACAUACAUAUAAUGGGAAUGCCAGAAGGACAAGAAAAAGAAAAAGGAACAAAAGAAUAAUGGCUGAGAACUUUUUAAAACUAAUGACAAGACACCAAACCACAAAUUCAGGAACUUCAGAAAAUGCUGAGCAGGAUAAAUACCAAAAGAUCUACACCUAAGUAUCUCAUAUUCAAAAUGCAGAAAAUCAAAUCCUUUUCUGCUUGAAACCACCAAAGUUGUUUCUUUUUUCUGUACUGACCACCAGUGUGACAUUUCCACUUAACUUCCUAAGUCUCGGUUUCUCACAUAAAACAAGAGUAGUAAUAUCUGACUCAGAGAGAUGUUAUGGGAACUUUUUAACUUUUUUAACCUUUUUAUUCUUUUGUAAUAACACUUAGCUUAAAACACAAACAUGUCCAGAUGUACAAAAAUAUUUCCUUUCCUUAUAUCCUAAUUUAUAGGCUUUUUUCUAUUUUAGAACUUUAAAAAAUAUUUUCUUACUUUUUAAACUUUUUUGUUGAAAACUAAGACACAAAGACACACAUUAGCCUCAGCCUACACAGGAUCAGAAUCAUCAAUAGCACUGCCUUCCACCUUCACAUCUUGUCCCACUGGAAGGUCUUCAGGGGCAAUAACAUGCAUAGAGCGAUCAUCUCCUAUGAUAACAACGCCUUCUUCUGGAAACCUCCUGAAGGAUCUUUCUGAGGCUGUUUUACAGGUAACUUUUUAAAAAAAUAAGUAGUAAAGAGGCUGGGCACAGUGGCUUAGGCUUCACAGCACUUCGGGAGGCCAAGGUGGGCAGGUCACUUGAAGUCAGGAGUUCGAGACCAGCCUGGCUAACAUGGUGAAACCCCAUCUCUACUAAAAAUACAAAAAUUAGCCAGACAUCAUGGUGGGCACCUGUAAUCCCAGCUCCUCGGGAGGCUGAGGCACAAGAAUCACUUGAACCCAGGAGGUGGAGGUGGAGGUUGCAGUGAGCAAGAAUUCUUUCAUUUUUCUGAUGGCAGAUUACUAACUCUG